rnacentral:rRNA from 1 species
UACGUAGGGACCGAGCGUUGUCCGGAUUCAUUGGGCGUAAAGAGCUCGUAGGCGGCUGUUCAAGUCGAACGUGAAAACUCGGAGCUCAACUCCGAGCCUGCGUUCGAGACUGGAUGGCUAGAGUCUGGUAGGGGGAUCUGGAAUUCCUGGUGUAGCGGUGGAAUGCGCAGAUAUCAGGAGGAACACCGGUGGCGAAGGCGGGAUCCUGGGCCAGUACUGACGCUGAUGCGCGAAAGCCAGGGGAGCGAACGGG